GAUGAACGCUGGCGGCGUGCUUAACACAUGCAAGUCGAACGAGAAGUGGAGACGGAAACCUUCGGGCGGAAGACUUUAUUUCGAGUGGAGGACGGGUGAGUAACGCGUGGGUAACCUGCCUCAUUCAGGGGGAUAACAGUUGGAAACGACUGUUAAUACCGCAUAAGACCACAGCACCGCAUGGUUCGGGGGUAAAAACUCCGGUGGUAUGAGAUGGACCCGCGUUCGAUUAGCUAGUUGGCGGGGUAACGGCCCACCAAAGCGACGAUCGAUAGCCGAUCUGAGAGGAUGACCGGCCACAUUGGGACUGAGACACGGCCCAAACUCCUACGGGAGGCAGCAGUGGGUAAUAUUGCACAAUGGGGGAAGCCCUGAUGCAGCGGCGCCGCGUGAGUGAAGAAGUAUUUCGUUAUGUGAAUCUCUAUCAGCAGAGGAGAGAGUGACGGUACCUGGUUAAGAAGCCCCGGCUAACUACGUG
rnacentral:rRNA from 1 species